CAACAUUUCAGUUCUUCUCAAGGACUUUCACCAGAAUUCAUGAUCCUGAUGAAAGUCCUUGAGGAGGACUGAAACGUU